UACGGAGGGUGCGAGCGUUGUCCGGAAUCACUGGGCGUAAAGGGCGCGUAGGCGGCCUGAUAAGUAGGGGGUGAAAUCCUGCGGCUUAACCGCAGGGCUGCCUUCUAAACUGUCAGGCUCGAGCACAGUAGAGGCAGGUGGAAUUCCCGGUGUGGCGGUGGAAUGCGUAGAGAUCGGGAAGAACACCAGUGGCGAAGGCGGCUCACUGGACCGGCAUUGACGCUGAGGUGCGAAAGCGUGGGGAGCAAACAGG
rnacentral:rRNA from 1 species